GAAACGAAGCAUCUAUAAGUUUCAGCUCUGCAGACAGCUUUAUGUCAUUUUGGAGUGUUUUCAAAACAGCAUAUUGACAGUGCCAUUGACCUUUCUAUUUCCAUGUGAAUGUCCCAAUGUGCCCAGUUCUUCCCAGAGAUUCUCUGUCAACAGAAAAAGCUGUGGAAACAUAUCUAAGAAUUUCAUGCAUCUGGGCCUGCUGUCAUUAUCACACAGAACCACUUAGUUGUCCUCGGUGGCAUACCAUGUCAGUGUCAUCCAAAAUGUAGCAUCUGCAUUUGGGAUAUAAUGCAGAAGGAAAUGCUUCAUCUUCUCAUGCUACGGACCUAGACCACUAUUCUUUGUUCUCUCAUCCCUGUGGCUUGGGACCACAAAGGCAACCACAGAGCUCUCCUGCAUUCUCUGCCUCAUACCAGACUGUAAUCCCAGUCCAGGCUAGGAAUUUAGCUGAUCCUAAGGCUUUGGAAACUGAUUUAAAACCCAAGGCCCUCCAGAUCCCUCAGACAAGAUGCAUGAUUUCUCUGAUUGAGCCCCACAUGUGCUCUAUUGGCAAAAUGACAAAUUGGUCACUGGGCCUGCAGAUACAGUGGAUGUGGCAAUGGGACAUUUUGAUAAACUCUACUUUGUGCCCCAGGGUUGUUGCUUUCUCACUGAGGUUCAAGCUCAGUAUCCUCUCUUGGUAGGGCCAACCAAAAUCCACAACUUACUCCAGAACCCUGAGACACAGUGUGUGCCAUCAUCCAUAGCCUCAUUUUCUGCAGCCACGGCAAGCUCAAAUUUGGCAGCUCGGUUCUUGUUCUCAGAAUUAAUUGUGGGGAUAUUUUGUGCUGAUUUCUUUGAGUUCUGUCAGCCAAGCAUCUGCUGUGCACUCUUCUAACAAUCAGCGCAUCACUUUCAAUUCCAUGUGUCCUCUCUGCUUGAGAGUGUGCAUCCAAGAAAAACAGACUUUCACCUUUGCUGCUCCAUCACCAGAGGUCAGGUCCUGCACUGAUUUCCAUUAUCUACUUUGCCUUCUCCUGCUUCCAGGUUUUCUGAGGCCUCAUUCUGUAUUUGGAAGUAAGGGACCACUCUUCAGGAAGUAUCCUGAACCAAGGGCUUGACGUCAGGAAUCUUGGACCACUUCUUGAAGCAGAGAAUUGAGUAACUUCCUGAAGUUCACGUUGGCCCUCCACAGGUUUCUGCUAGUAUCAGAGAAACUAAACAUGUCUCAUGAAUGUCUUUUGAGCCUGGUAUUGUCUAAAGAAGACUCCAUGCCAGUAUUCUCCAUUGUAGCAGAACAACUCCCAUCAAUGUAUUCACAUCUCUCCUCAAUCCGUGCAGCCAACUUUUCUGCCAGCUUCUCUUCGUGUCUCCCAUAAAGUCGACUUCUACAGGACUGGGCAUAUCUGAAAGUACAUCGGAACCUCACCGGUAGGUUAAUGACAGGCAGAUCUUCUACUCUCUGCCCUUUCAGGUUCUGCAAACUGACCCAUGAACUCAGGCCACUGGGGAGUAGCAGCAUCUCAAACACACACAGCUUACCGAACAAGAGUCCUAAGCCAAACUCCACAGAGGGUGGCAUCCCCUCUAUGCCACUGAUCCACCCUCAUGGCUCUGCCCAGUUACAUUGGAUUCACCAGCCACAACA